GAUGAAGAACGCAGCGAAAUGCGAUAAGUAGUGUGAAUUGCAGAAUUCAGUGAAUCAUCGAAUCUUUGAACGCACAUUGCGCCCCUUGGUAUUCCAUGGGGCAUGCCUGUUCGAGCGUCAUUUGUACCUUCAAGCUUUGCUUGGUGUUGGGUGUUUGUCUCGCCUCCGCGUGUAGACUCGCCUCAAAACAAUUGGCAGCCGGCGUAUUGAUUUCGGAGCGCAGUACAUCUCGCGCUUUGCACUCACAACGACGACGUCCAAAAGUACAUUUUUACACUCUUGACCUCGGAUCAGGUAGGGAUACCCGCUGAACUUAAGCAUAUCAAUAAGCGGAGG
rnacentral:misc_RNA from 1 species